AGCACCACGGGGAAGGAAACUGUUUGAUUGAAGCGACGAUUGAAACGAUCCGAAAAACUAUCCUCCACGCGUCCCAAUCGAGCGUCUGGUGCGGUACGCAGUCUACAACGAACUCGCCAUUGUUGUUCUUCCGCAAGCACGCUUUAUAAGAGGCGAGAAGUUUGGCGGGCAAAAACAGCAACAUCCGCGCAAGCGCGCUCACCAAACGCGCAGCACAACAAGCCGGCAUUGUUUAUCUCCGCACGCCAUGUGCGCGCAGAAAACCCGUUGAGAGCGCGCAAAAGCAGCCCGCUCUCAGAGAACAAAACGGUGGCUGCUGCUGCUGCUGUCACCUUCGCCGGUGUCAACGCAUGAUUAGUAACGCCGUCCCGACCACCGCAUGCUACGAGUGUACGAGAGAGCGCAGCAGCAGCAUGCUUUCUCAUCGCAGCACGUGUUCGCGGUUGACGCCGUUUGCAUAUGCCGUUUUGGAGCGUGCCAGAUGAGUAAUCGACAGCCGGCGCGCGGUUGGGUGGCGUCGUCGCAAUGGUACCGAGUUCCCACUUUGUCCCACCAACAAUUAUGUGUGGGGGAGGAGGGCGACUGCGUUUGCAGUUGCACCUAUAAGCCAGGCACCACUGCUGCACUGCACCGCGGAUCGUAAUCAGCGGAAGUUGCAUUGCAAACGCGCUCGCGCGCAGGGUUAUUUCGCUGCUGCGCUGUGUGUUCUGUGUACAAAUCGCGAAAUAGUUGAAGGUUUCUUAUCGGUCACACCCCGAUUCGAGCGGAUGGGCCUAAGCCGACGGGUGUGCGGAUGUUAUUAGACGCUCUUCAAUCUCACCUCUAAUCGUGCUGCGUGCUGCAAGCCGGUGCCACACGCCACUCUAAGGUGCAGCAUAUGCGGCAACCGACUGACCGUCCUCGGUGUCGUUGACUUCUUCGAUGCUGACGGAGAUGAAUCACGGAGCGGUAACUUCCGCAAAAAAGGUGAAAAAUGGGAUUGUUUUUAAUAUAGGCCCAAGUUUGGGAAUGGAUGACAUUGGAUUACAGCAUUCGAAGGUAAUAAGAUCACCAUUGAAUAUCCAUCCCCGGGGUAAAAGUGGAUGCAAGAGUUGUAGUGACACAGAUCCCUUUCCCUACGAUUGUUCGUCUGAAUCAAAUCAAUUGAGCCUUCAAUUCGUUGUAACCUUGCCUUCCUCCCCGGUCCCCCCGCGUACUUGUAUCCUUCGAUGGUUAUCUCCACUUCCUAGCUGGCAGUCCACCAAACUCGAUGCGAGUAUCUCGUGCAAACAUCCCAUUCAACAUUCGCAAUAAGAAUACCCUCACCGGUCUGAAUGCGUGUGGCAACCGUCAUCGCACAAAAUUGAUACCUUCGAUCCAUCCAACCAGUGGACCCAAUGACACUCCUCAGUGCAAACGUUCUGAGGAAUUGAUUACAGCGCGUUCUCCAAAGCUCCGUAUUCCGUCGCAAUUUGUGCCCCCAUGCGGCUCAACCAGACUGCCACGCUUCUGCCACGCUGUGCAAAUGGGCAAACAAUUUCAAGUGUAAGGUCAACUGCUCGAUGCCAGCUUGUCGCGGCCGCGGGUACCCCACGGGUGGCAUUAGACGCGUCUGUUUGCGUCUCUUUCAACCGCUUUCAUUGAUUAGCGAUUCCGUAUGAAGCGAUCGUAAGAUAUUCACACAUACACACACAUGCAAGAUUGCAACGAAAUAGAAUACAUUAUUAUUACAAAGACAUGUAUUUUUCUUCCACAUACCUCCCAAUAUCCUCCAACACAGACACACAUCACGACGGUGCAGAGAGCACGUUGAACUCCAGCAAUCGACGACUACUGGGAUCGUGUUCCAAUGUUCGAUGAGCGGUGCCAUGCGGAAGGUAUGUCAGCGUCGUCGAUUGCUACGAUCUUGCCAUUUGUCUCUCGGCUGCACGUGACUGCAGCCCGUUCCCAGGGCAACCGCCCCGCUUCGGGUUCACUACUGGCUAGUCACGUGUGUUUGCGUGGCUUACGAUGACGGCUUCGCGGGUGCACCGACCUCCCCUCGGUGCCGCAUUCUUUGCGCACACACUACGCUGCACGCCCCAAAAAAGGGGAAACGAAACGGGACAGGAAGCGGUAUGAAUUUAUUAUUUCACAAUUUGUCACCAUCCUCACCAGUAGUGCUCCUCCUCCUCGUGUUCCAACCACAACAGAUUGGGGUUGGUUCGUGCACCGUUCGCGCGUUCGGUGCCGCAGGAAGUUCAAGGUUGUCAUACGGCGGUGUACCGGUGCAUUGACACAUUGCUUGUUGGGUGCCUUAGAACGGUGAUCGUUUGCCGUUGGAUGUGCAAGUGAAGUGUCCCCUCAUGUGUGUGUGUGUGUGUCAUUUCUUCGUCCAAAAGGCUCCCCCACCACUCGAGAUAAGCAGCAGUUUUUGUUAUUGUUUCUGUGCGUGUGCGUGUGUGUGUCUUUCUCUCCGUGCUGGACCACAAACUGGCUCAAAGUGGUUCCGCUGUCCGACCGACCAGGUGUAACCAGGCACCGGAAGAGGAAUAACGCAAACAAACAAACGCAAACAACCGCAAACACCCAUCGCCUGUGUUGAGGGUAGAGUACUUUUUGAAUAAGUGAAUUUAUGCAGUGCUUUUACAUACAAAGAAAGAGUAAUGUGGCGUUGUCGUCGGCGUCGUCGUCGGCAUUGCUGCUGGUACUCCACCCCCGGCACAAGUGGAGCUUCAUUUGCAUUCUGGCGCCUUUUUUGUGUUUGUGUUUGGAGCCGUCAAAAACACAUAUCGUCCAGCAUUAUAACGGGGCGCGAACCGGUGCGUGAGCAGAAACGUUGAAAUGCAAAUUGACGGGCUCAUUUAUGCAAGAUAAAUGGCUCGAUUAUCAGGUGAUCGCAAGUUGUGAUGAAAAGGCAGCAGUUUCGGUUGCCCCGUUACUAUUCAAAUCCUGCAGCAAUCGAUGAGCCGACGAGUGAACGAAUGGUGCUUGUGCGCGGUAACAAAGGCGAAGAAGAUGCUGUUAAACACACACACACAAUUGUGCAGAACAGUGUCCUUGGAGAUCAAGAAGUGACAGCUCAGAGUAGCUAUUAUUGUAGCUAAUUGAUAUUGAAAGGGAAUUGCUACGUUAACUAGUGUAAAGAAAAAAGCUAUCUAUCCGAAGUUCAGUGAUAUUUACGUUAGAAAUGAACAUGCAAUAGCCCUACCCCAAGUGGCCCCCCUCUCCCCAUCUACCACAACUAUAUUAGGUCCAUUAUAAUCAUUUUAUUUUUACAGGAUACUUGAAAUACAUUUUUAAAAAGUAUUAACCGUAAUACAGUUUCAAUUAAUCUGCAGCUAGUUUAUACGCAUUUUGUUUGUUGGGUUUUGUUUGUUUGUUUGUUCUCUUGCUGUAGGAUUAUUAAUUUUGAAUUAGUGUUCGGUAAGAUGGGUUUGUUGGAAAUUGUUUCUUUUAUACCAUUUUUUAUACGAAAUGUACCAAAAAAGCAUUUUGUUCGCAUAUUCUCCCCCCCCCUGUCCCUUUUCUCGCCUACCGGUCCUUUCCCUACCACUGCCCGUUGCGCGCUGUCCUGCUCCUUAUCAGUAAAUACAUACUUGUGUGAAAUUGUGUAUCUGUGUGUGUGUGUGUGUGUAUUUGAUUAGUAGGUGUGCAAAGUGAUGUCUCUUUUUUCAGUGCAGAGUGUGAAAAGCGAACCAAUUGUAUCACUGGCUGUUGCGGGUGAUUAGUAUAACGCAUUACGUGCAAUGGAUUCUAAAACACAGACAAACGGGUAAAAGGUGUUGUAAUUAUGAAUUUUAAAACACUCAGGCCUCUAAUUAAAAUGCCGAAUUAUCACUGGGUCUGAUUUUGUAUUUGUGUGUCUUGUGUUUGUGAUUGGGAUUCUUACGAACUGCUGCUCGCUCGAAUCCAUACCAUCAUACGUAUGUAUAUGUACAAACAGCUUUUGCCACGCCCACUGCCAUAGCACGUGGCACCUUCGUCCUGUUGCUAGGAAACGUGGCGAUCCCACUACCAGCAUGGUAGCUGCGAUCUACAGCGUGGCCAAUGAAGCGAGAAAACAAUCCGAACAAAAUACUGUUGCCGCUUACAGCUACUUCUUACUACUGCUAACCCAUCUGGAGGAAGUGUGUACACGUUAAACUAGCGCAAAACAUAUUUAAAAACGAAUCAACAAGCUGUUUUAUAUGCCACAUCCAUAUGUGCAUAAUAGUAUCUUUGUGUGUGAGUGUGUGUUUUUUAGGAAUUAUGUCCUAUUAUAUCGUUUUUGGCCGUUAAUUUCGCAUGGUUUUUCCACCCCCCCUCCUUUUCUCGAGCAUCCUCUAACGCGCCUUGUAGCAUGUUAGCUUGCUUCGGGUUGCGCACGUGCGCGCUCACGAAAAGCAUAUGCAUGGAGGCGCAUGGUGAACUGAAUUGCAACACACACACCCGAACACGCGCGACAACAUCAACAACAACAACAACACGCAGAUCGUUACGGAGAUUGAUAAAAUCGCGAAUGCCAAUCAAUAGGGAGGCGCAUUUAAUACAAGGGAAGGAAACGAACAACGCAAAUGUACAACACAUUGUCGACGCAAGAGUUAAAUGCAUCAUGCAUAACGGUGUGUGUGUGUGUUUAUGUGUGUGUGUGUAAAUUGUGUCACAUAACGCAUCAACACCAUCAUCAGAGCCCAUCAUCAACAUCACCGUACGAGACGUUUGGAGGGCUAAUCUCACAGUUUGUUUCUUUUGAAUGCAAUACAAUUGCCGUUUUCAUUCACCUUCGGGGGUUUUUGGUUAGCAAAUAUUCAAUAGCCGUUUUUUUUGGCCGACCACCACACACACACACACACACCGAACAAGACCUCACACGAGUUGGAGCAAAGUUUCGCAAAAUCCCCAGGAUCCAAUGCUCCCGUGGUUCGGUCACCUGUGCUCCGUCCGCAUGGUGCAGCCUGUAGUGUGUGUGUGUGUGUGCGUGUUGUGUAUGGUCUGUAUGUGUGUAAUAUGUAGGUGUGUACGACUGUGUGUUUAAGUAUAUUCUAUUUACAAAUUUUCGAAUUCAUUUACGCUAAGAGUAAUUUCUUUGUUUGUAGCCAAACUUAACUAGAUAACAUUUCGUAAACUUUUGCUUUUGCUUUCUCAUCACCGUUCAUCCAUUAUCCAUCCAUCCAAUCAUCCCAUCAUCCAGUGCAUAUAUGCUUGCACGGUGUGAUGUGUUCGCCACCAUGGCCAUACUCCCUCCUCUCCUAAUCCUCCUGCACUUCUUCCCCUUCCCAUUGCACUUUGUUGCACCUCUUCCGCUCAUUUCAGUCCCUCUCCUGCAGGUGAAAUAUUCACGCCCUGGCGUGAAACAGUGCUAGGGCAUUGAAAAGGAUGUUUAAAAUUGCCUUCGCUUCGGUGGCCUCAAGUAGUGAAAUGGUGUGUGUAUGUGAGAGCUUGUAAGAAAAGCGUACAACAAAAUAAUUUCAGAAUCACAACAGAACGAGAAACGUUUAGCGUUUUACUUGCUAGCUUUACUUGCAUUUGUCUUGUUUCGUACUCCAAUCCCUUCUCCGCAGCUACUGCCUAGAUGUGGAUGUGUUUGUGUGUAUGCUUAGUAGUUACUUAUUUGCGCAGAAUUAAUGGCAAUAGUUUGGAGUUUUGUCUUUACCUUUUGACUUGUAGUUUUAUACACACGUAGAGCUUUUUGUUUUGUUUUAAAAGACAACAAGAGAUGGUAUGGUAGUUUACUUUCCCCUAAUGGCCAAUCAUUGGGUUGGGUAUCAAUCGCUAGGGAUAGCUAAGAGUUAGAGCGUGAGAAAGAGAUGCUUUUACUGCUUUGUUGAUCUUGUUCUAGUGUUGGUUGUUGUAAGUUUGUGUCGUGCCACUUUUGUCACCUGGUUCGUGUUCGCUCGCUUUUCCCAUCAUCAUUGCCAAACGCUUUGCUUGAAGGAGCCAAGGAGCUAAUCGCCCUCUCCCUCUCUCUUUCUCUUUCACACACAUAUUUUCUCACGGUUCGGAAUGUAUGUAUCAUUUAGCUAGACUUAUCAUUGUUCACGCUAGUAGCUCAACAUUGCAAGAAUAGGUGCCGAGAUCGCACGAUCGUUUGUGAUCAAUAUACGUCCUGAUCAACCAGCAUAUGCUGCUCGCUAUACCGUAAUGGAUGGAAGGAAGAUUGAAGAUCCUUCUACCCGGGAAAGGUAGAAGGUACCAGUGGAAGAGUGUUUUGCGAUAGAGGGAACAGAGUGUGAAGUCUUGAAGUUAUGGUGGAAGAAAAGAUCCAGUGAUUGCAUCCUUCAGUGGUAACAGCAACGUGUGGUGCUCCUGGAAGAGCUCCACGUGCUUUCUUCCUGCGCAUUACAAACCAUUUGCAUUCUUAGGUACCACAGCCCUUCAGACUGCCCGCGAACGGGGUGUAAAGCAGUUGCGUCACUGGCUUACCGAAACUGUGUCUGUGUGUGAGUCUUCAUUGUCCAUUCCAGCACUUUCUUCUCCGCUUCUCAUUCAAUAUUCUGCAAUGUUGUGUGUGUCAAACAAACAUAUGCUGCUAGCAUCCAAUCAUCAUUUCUACGGCUUUUACAUUCAUUCGAUUGCUUCAUAAUUCCUCCUUCCUGCUCCCAUCACGGGCCCUUAUCCCUUCUUUUUAUGCUUUUGCGGUUUCCUCCAUCCUCCGUCUCCGUCUUCUUGUAUGUAUUGUAUUAUCACAAUUGUUUAUUAUUGCUGAUGAAUCUAUUCAAUCAACGUCAUUUGUUCAAACGUAAUAAUGAGUGUAUAUACUUGAACGCGUGUCUUCUUGUUUGUGUGUGUGUGUAUGGAUGUUUUAUGUUCUCAGUAGUGUGUCCGCAGUGUGUCGCGCCGUCUCUUAGUAUUAAGCCCAGCAGAAUUGGUAUAUGAUAAAGUUUCUUCACUUUUCUUCACGCUUCCAUCUUUUUCCUGACUUCUUGCUGGACCGCUCUGCCCAUUGUCUGUCCUCCUCAUCCUGCUCGUUACAUAUAGCCUUGGAUUAAUGCUUUUUUCGCUUUUGCGUUUUUCUUCCAUUUUAAUUAGUCGAACUUGUUUUCCCCUCCGAUCGGUGAGAUACCUCAAUAUAAUAUUGCAACCUUUAUCAUCUUUCAUCGCGCACUCCAUUCGGCUCACACGGCAACGCAGAAGCAUUGCGUAUCACUUGCGUGCGUGCGCUUAUGCUUUUUGUCCAACACACACACAUGUUUUGCUUAUUAUAUUAGCUUUUGCUUUGCGAUACAAUUCACUUCGGUGUUUGGUUUGUUUUUUCCCCCUUCUUCCCUUGGGUUUCCAAUGCCUUUAGGGUGUGUGUGUGUGUAAAUUUUCUUUCCGUGUUCCGUGUAUGUGACUGUGUGUGUUUUGUAUUACUUCUUUCUGCUCGCCUGAUAUGAUGUAAACGUGUCCAUUGCACAUUUACUCGCUCUCUUUGUUUGCUAAGUAAAUAAUGUUUUCAUUAAUAAUGUAUAAUAAGUUUGUAUAUUUAUAUUUAUUAUUAAAGUACGCAUUGCCUUUAAGGUUUAGUAAUUUCAUUUGCCCCCGUUUUUACUGUUCCGACCUUUUUUUGUUUUAUGUUUUUUUUUUGUGGCUGGUUUCUGUACCGUCUUAUGCACUUCUUCCCAGUGCUUACACACACACGCUUGGGGUAGCUUUGGAAUAUUUUUGUAUGUGUGUAUGAGUUUUUUCUCUUUCUUCUGUAAGUUUGUUUGUUACUUAUUUCAUUGAGAUUGAAGCUGUAUAUCGAGAUAAAAAUUGCUUGCAAACUAGUCCCCGAACAGUGCGCGUCCGUCAUAUCAGGAAAAUAAAUCACUUUCACGGUUGUUUUUUCUUCUUCUUCUUGUUCCGUUCCUAUCUUGGGACGAUUUGUAAUGGGGUGGCAGGUAAAUAG